rnacentral:lncRNA from 12 species
AUGAAUAAUGGCUUGCUUUAUCCUGAUCCUCACGUGGCACUACGGAAACGAAGGCUCUCUUCACCAGUGCAAGCGCAGACAGCACACCCUGGUGGCCAACCCAAGGAUAAAUCAGGCAUCCGCCAUUAUAGGAGGCUCAUGGUGUUUUUGCAAGUCCUAUCACCAGGUGUCGCCAUAGUACACCUCGGCGUGCUGCUCACGUUGGUGACUUCCAAGGAUUAUUCUUUCAGCGAAUUUUAAAUAAAUACAUCAUGCAACUUAAAACAGCCCAAAGAGCGUAAUGCGGAUGAAACAGGUGAAGAGACACACUGUUCAAGAAGACCAAUGAAAUACAAACCAUGGUAAGAGGGUGUUUUUUUUCCAUUUUGCAUUUGCUUUACAGGUAACAGGAAGGUAGAUGCUUCAUGGAAAUACACAAGUCGUUUCAAAAAAGAGCUGUUAUGAGCUGUUUGUGCCUCCCCCAAAAUUCAUAUGUUGAAGCCCUAAUCCCCAGCUAUGGCACCUUUGGGAAGUAGUUUUUAGAUUAGGUCAUGAGGAUGGGACUCUUGUGAUGAAAAUAAUGUCCUUGUAAAAAGAAAGAGAGCCACAAGAUCCCCCUCUCUCUGUGUCCUCUACCAGAAAUGGGAUCAACUGGCCAGCCCCCACUCCCCUUGGACUUCUCAGCCCAUAAGAACUAAAUUUCUAUUGUUUAAGGCACCCAGUCAGUGUGGUAUUUUGUUAUAUCAGCCUAAGCAUAUGAGACAAGUGUCCGUAUUUUCCCUAUUGUGAUUUUCAAAUAAUGUAGAUACAAAAUUUCUAAGCCCCUUUGCAUGUUUGCUUUUGUAAUCCUAAAUCCUUGAGCGUAAUUUAGAGCAGAGUGCUGGGAUGGAGGAUGGGGGAAGUGUGGUAUGGAUGCUAAAGAAAUGUAAAAGCAGCUUCUGCUCUCAAGAAGCUUCCAGUGAUAAGCAAACCCUUGUGAAAACAAAGUACACAAGGUAAUUUAUGAUCUAGGACCAAAAUGACUUCAAAUCAUAAGGGCCAUGUUGCAGGUUAUAUUCUACACAAAGCUGACUCUGAGACAGUGUUUGAUGUGCAGAGUAUUCAUUAAGGAUUGCCUUGGGGAUCAGCAUCUGUGGAGGGGAGGGAUCAGAAGCAGGACUGGGCAGAGGAAGAAGUCAAGCUGGGAUGACAGCCCCAGCCAACCCCAGGUAGUGCUGGGCAUUUUGGAACUAGAAGGGCCACCAUCUUCAGAGAUAUCUUG